UGGGAAGGGAAGGGAGGUGACGCAGGGACUGAUCCCAGUAAUCACUUCCAUGUGCCUGGGCAGAGCCUCCGGCUGCAGGGUUCAUCCCUGCCCUUCGCUUGGGCAUAAAAACAAUCCAGAGCCAUUUCCUGGGAGGCAUUUUGGGCACAACCAGAUGUGCUGGCAUUAUGGAAAUGGGGGAAGAUCUGGGAUGGGGCUGAGGAUGGCUCUGUCCCGACCCAGCAGACACUCCCAACUCCCUGUGCUGAACUGGGAAAAGCAGGACAAAGCACUGGUGACACUCCUGCCAGGCGUGGCUGCCGGGGGUAGCGGCAUCCCCCUGUCCUGCUGAAGGCUCCCCUUCCCCUGGGCUGCCAGCGAGGGGCAGGAAAAGCAGAGGAAUCCCUGGCGCAGAGGCUGCUGAGGCAGGAAAUCCCGGCAGCCUCUCCCCGAGCCUGGCAGCGCUGGAAUCGCAGAGCCCCCGCAGCCGGCAGAGAUAAGGGCAGCAGCAGGAAACGUGCACCUCUGCCGGGGCAGCCAGGAAAGGAAGCGAUUCCCGCAGAUGGGAGCCAUGGAGCACGCAGCAGAGGCUGGCAGGAUGCACCAGGGCCCUUUGGAGCUUUGGGAUGUUUGGAGGGAAGCAGGGCUGGGAUGAGAGCAGGGAUUGAGGCGGGCUCGGUCAGCAGCGCUGCCAGCUGGGUUAGUGGGUCACUGUCACAAAGCCCUUGGAGCAUUUCUGCCCCUGGAUGUCGGAAACCAGUCCUGCUCAGGGUCAGGAGAUUUGGCAGGAAGGGCCACAAAGCCGUGCCUUGAGCAUCCCGGUGGUUCCUGCAGGAAAGGGCUCUGGCAGGGGAGGGCUGUGCACCCCUGAGCUCCCUGGAUCAGCACCAAGAAGUGUUUUGGCCUCAUGUCCCAAGAAAAACAGAUGUCUCUGGGGAUCCCCCUCAUGGAAUCGUGGAAUUGUUUAGGUUGGAAACAAGAUCAUGGAGUCCAACCAUUCCAGCAGCACUGCCAAGGCCACCAUGUCCCCAAGUGCCACAUCCACACAGCUUUUAAUCCACCACCUGGGCCUUUCCAUGAAGAAUUUUUCCUAAUAUCCAUCUAAACCUCUUCUGGAGCAACUUCAGGCUGUUUCCUCUUGCUCUGUCACUUGUUCCCUGGGAGCAGAGCCCAAUCCCCUCCUGGCUGUCCCCUCCCUUCAUGGAAUGAUAGAAAGAAAACUCCUCCGUCAUUAAUAACUGGAAUUUGCAGGAUGAUACCAGCCAAAAGUGACAGCAGCAUUUCUGAGGCUCUGUAAAACCAGGCAGAAUAAAGCCAGGCCCCAUGAUCUGCCCCUGGCCCAGGAAAGGGGGCACAGCCGUGGGUUUGAGCUCAGCCUUUGGAGCCAUCUGAGAACCCCCAGCAGCAGGGACCAGCUCUGAGCUGUGCCAAGGACAAAGGGGCCCUCUCUGGGUGGCUGUGCCCCUCCUGUGGGGUGGCUCUGUAUCCCUUCAGGCCAUCCUGAGGGAUUGCUCCUGCUGGCUCCCUCUCCCUGUUUCCCUUCCCCAUCCUGAGGGAGCUGACAGCAGGGCAGGUGUCCCCCAGCACAGCACCCAGCUCUCCACAUCUCCAUUUUUGGGAACACUUCUCAUUAAUUUUGCUCUCAAUUCCUUGACUCAGCGAAGCCUCAUGACUCAGCACCUUCUCGCCCUGGCCCACUGCAGGGACACACUUCCCCAUGGAUCCAGGGAUGAGCCCACUUCCCAGUGGAUCCAGGGAUGAGCCCACUUCCCAGUGGAUCCAGGACUGGCUGAGGUGCAUCCUCAGGGACAUCCAUCCCUGCUGCAGGAUUAACCUGCUGAGUCCCCCCAGCUGGAAGGUGGAGCUCAGAUCUCCCAGCAUCCCGGGGAGAUGAAGACUCACAGGAUGAAAACUCCGCUCCCACAUGGAAAAACUUUCAGAGACAUCUGAGCCCCAGCCCAAAGGAAUGCUCCAGGUUUUACAAAUUAUUUUAAGACACAAAGCUUCUCCCGGCGGAUCCGCUCCCGGCCGCAUUUCCCCGGCCGCCCCAGCCUUUGUCCCGCGGAGCCCCCCGGAGCUGGUGAAGGGGUUGUUCCCCCCCGACACGUGUCCCCUGCAUCCUCUGUGACCAAAAUCCAGCGGCGCCGAGGUCAGCGGGACCCGCGGGAGAGAGGAUUUGUUCUUUAAAUUGAACGCGGAUGCGGCCCCGGCGGCGUUUCAGGCUAAAAGGGAUUUCAGGGCUGAGCGAUCCGGCUAAAUGGGGACAGAGGGCUUGGGGUGGCUGGAAAUUCAAUGGGAAUAGCGGCACACAUGGGCUGCACAUUUGGGAGCUGCCUGCCCCGCCCAGCCCCGCUCCUGUGCGUCCACAGGGGAGGGACACACGGACACGCAGAGGGAGGGAAACCCUCACAUGUGUGGGGUUCACAACCUUUCCAUGCCUAAAGCAAUGAGCCAGCCCGUUUGGAUUGAGUUAUUCUUAUGUUUCCUGAGGUUUUAUUUAUUUCUUUUUUUACUUCAGGAUUCCUCUCCCCAUAAACUGAGCUUCAAAUCUUUUGAGGUUUUUUUUUUUCCCCUGAGAAGGUAGGGGCUGCUCAUGAAGGAAGGAAAAAAGAGAUGGAGGGAAAAAAGGAUGGAGGGAAGGAAGGAUGGAUUUGGAUUGAAAGGAAGAUUAAAAAUCAUCCCAUUCCAAGCCCCUGAGAUGGGCAGGGACACCUUCCACUAUCCCAGGCUGCUCCAAGCCCUGUCCAGCCUGGUCUUGGACACUUCCAGGGAUCCAGGGGCAGCCACAGCUUCUCUGGGCACCCUGUGCCAGGGCCUGCCCACCCUCCCAGCCAGGAAUUCCCAAUUCCCAGUCUCCCAUCCAUCCCUGCCCUCUGGCAGUGGAAGCCAUUCCCUGUGUCCUGUCCCUCCAGCCCUUGUCCCCAGUCCCUCUCCAGCUCUCCUGGAGCCCCUUCCGACCCUGCCAGGGGCUCUGAGCUCUCCCUGGAGCCUUCUCCUCUCCAGGUGAGCACCCCCAGCUCUCCCAGCCUGGCUCCAGAGCAGAGGGGCUCCAGCCCUUGGAGCAGCUCCGGGGCCUCUCUGGACUCGUUCCAGCAGCUCCACGUCCUCCUGAUGUUGGAGGCAGCACUUGGGGGGAUCGGCCGGGUAGCGCUGGGCACCGCUGCCGGGCUGGAGGGGAGGAAGAGGAGCGGGGCCGGUCCCGGCGAUCCCGAUGAUCCCGGUCGAUCCCGAUGAUCCCGGCUGAUCCCGGUCGCUGCCGCCGCCUGCCGCCCACACCGGGACAUGCAGCGCGCACCGACGGGACACACGCAGCCACGGACAGAC